rnacentral:rRNA from 1 species
GAUGAACGCUGGCGGCGUGCUUAACACAUGCAAGUCGAACGGAGCACCCCUGAAAGAGUUUUCGGACAAUGGAAGGGAAUGCUUAGUGGCGGACGGGUGAGUAACGCGUGAGGAACUUGCCUCGGAGUGGGGAAUAACACAUGGAAACGUGUGCUAAUACCGCAUAAUGCAGUUGGGUCGCAUGACUCUGACUGCCAAAGAUUUAUCGCUCUGAGAUGGCCUCGCGUCUGAUUAGCUAGUUGGUGGGGUAAAGGCCUACCAAGGCGACGAUCAGUAGCCGGACUGAGAGGUUGACCGGCCACAUUGGGACUGAGAUACGGCCCAGACUCCUACGGGAGGCAGCAGUGGGGAAUAUUGGGCAAUGGGCGCAAGCCUGACCCAGCAACGCCGCGUGAAGGAAGAAGGCUUUCGGGUUGUAAACUUCUUUUAUUCGGGACGAAGAAAGUGACGGUACCGAAUGAAUAAGCCACGGCUAACUACGUGCCAGCCGCCGCGGUAACAC